rnacentral:rRNA from 1 species
GAUGAACGCUGGCGGCGUGCCUAAUACAUGCAAGUCGAGCGAACAGACGAGGAGCUUGCUCCUCUGACGUUAGCGGCGGACGGGUGAGUAACACGUGGAUAACCUACCUAUAAUACUGGGAUAACUUCGGGAAACCGGAGAUAAUACCGGCUCAUAUAUUGAACCGCAUGGUUCAAUAGUUAAAGACGGUUUUGCUGUCACUUUUAGAUGGAUCCGCGCCGCAUUAGCUAGUUGGUAAGGUAACGGCUUACCAAGGCAACGAUGCGUAGCCGACCUGAGAGGGUGAUCGGCCACACUGGAACUGAGACACGGUCCAGACUCCUACGGGAGGCAGCAGUAGGGAAUCUUGCGCAAUGGGCGAAAGCCUGACGGAGCAACGCCGCGUGAGUGAUGAAGGUCUUCGGAUCGUAAAACUCUGUUAUUAGGGAAGAACAAAUGUGUAAGUAACUAUGCACGUCUUGACGGUACCUAAUCAGAAAGCCACGGCUAACUACGUG